GUGUUCACUUCAGCAGCACACACACUAAAAUUGGAAUGAUACAGAGAAGAUUAGCAUGGCCCCUGCAUGAGGAUGACACACAAAUUCAUGAAGCUUUCCACAUUUUU
rnacentral:snRNA from 1 species